rnacentral:rRNA from 1 species
CCUACGGGGGGCUGCAGUCGAGAAUAAUUCACAAUGGGGGAAACCCUGAUGGUGCAACGCCGCGUGGAGGAUGAAGGUCUUCGGAUUGUAAACUCCUGUCAUCUGGGAGUAAGACCUGACGGUGAAUAGCCGGCAGGGUUGAUAGUACCAGAAGAGGAAGGGACGGCUAACUUCGUGCCAGCAGCCGCGGUAAUACGAAGGUCCCAAGCGUUGUUCGGAAUCACUGGGCGUAAAGGGAGCGUAGGCGGCGUGGUAAGUCAGAUGUGAAAUCCCGG